rnacentral:rRNA from 1 species
ACCAUCUAAAGACAAUCAAUAGAGGUACAGCUCUAUUGAUUCAGGAUACAACCUGAAUUUGCAAGAAACUACGACCCCCAAACCCGUAGGCCCUUAAGCAGCCACCCCAAAAAAUAUCGUCAUAGAAUUAACCCAAACAAUCCAUUCACCAACUAAAAACUUCAAACUAACUAAAGGUGGACCUACACAAGUAGAUAUCAUUAUGCUAAAACUAAUAAUAAGAUUCCAUCUCUUUACGCACCCCUCCACUAGAAACAGAAGAACUACUAGUAAUUAACAGACCACAAAAGGCAGACAAUAAACCCAUACACACCUUCAAAAUAACUGUGACCCCAACACAGGAGCGUUAAAUAGAAAGAUUAACUGUUAUAAAAGGAACUCGGCAACCAAGGGCCCCAACUGUUUAACAAAAACAUAACCUUUAGCCAAACAAGUAUUAAAGGCAACGCCUGCCCAGUGAAUAAUUAAACGGCCGCGGUAUCCUAACCGUGCAAAGGUAGCAUAAUCAUUUGUCUAUUAAUUGUAGACCUGUAUGAAAGGCAAAAUGAGAGCCCAACUGUCUCUUAUAACAAAUCAAUUAAACUGAUCUCCUAGUACAAAAGCUAGAAUACCAACAUAAGACCAGAAGACCCUGUGAAGCUUUAACUAACCUAUUAAACCUAAUAAUAACUACUUUCGGUUGGGGCGACCUUGGAAUAAAAAAGAACUUCCAACAUAUGACUACUCAUAAACUAAGGCAAACAAGCCAAUAUAGACCCAGCACAGCUGAUAAUUGAAAUAAGUUACUCCAGGGAUAACAGCGCUAUCUUCUUUAAGAGCCCAUAUCAAAAAGAAGGUUUACGACCUCGAUGUUGGAUCAGGACAUCCCAGUAAUGCAACCGUUACUAAAGGUUCGUUUGUUCAACGAUUAACAGUCCCACGUGAUCU